rnacentral:rRNA from 1 species
CAUAGGUUAAUGAGGCGAACCGGGGGAACUGAAACAUCUAAGUACCCCGAGGAAAAGAAAUCAACCGAGAUUCCCCCAGUAGCGGCGAGCGAACGGGGAGGAGCCCAGAGCCUGAAUCAGUGUGUGUGUUAGUGGAAGCGUCUGGAAAGGCGCGCGAUACAGGGUGACAGCCCCGUACACAAAAAUGCACAUAUUGUGAGCUCGAUGAGUAGGGCGGGACACGUGGUAUCCUGUCUGAAUAUGGGGGGACCAUCCUCCAAGGCUAAAUACUCCUGACUGACCGAUAGUGAACCAGUACCGUGAGGGAAAGGCGAAAAGAACCCCGGCGAGGGGAGUGAAAAAGAACCUGAAACCGUGUACGUACAAGCAGUGGGAGCCUCUUAAUGGGGUGACUGCGUACCUUUUGUAUAAUGGGUCAGCGACUUAUAUUCUGUAGCAAGGUUAACCG